GGGGAAGAGAGAGGGAGGGAAAAUGGAACAUGUGGCAGAAGUAGAGAUGCAUGAAGUGAGAAGAUGUAUGGCCGUUCCACAUUUAGCUUUCAAGUACUCACCACUACGCUGCUCCCACUAAAUGAUUUAGUGGCAGAACAACAAUCCAUCAGCUCUGUGGAAGGUUAUUAUAAAUGCAUUACCUCCCCAAGCCUACCAGUUCAAUGGAGUCGUGCAGGGCCUCAUAAAUAUGGGUCAAUAUAGGGACACACACAAAAGACUCAGGAUGAAUGAAAUAGGCUUUAUUGUUUUAGUGUGAACUUUCACCCUACCUGUGCGUAGAAGCUCUCAGAUCUGAGGCGGGUCUUUUCAAAUGAAGAGACACACGAACUGAAGACAGGUCUUCACCUUGAUGGCUACACAUCUGAUCCCUCUAAUAUUAUUUCAGCAGAGGAUUGUCCCAGGAGGCCUCCCUCCUCCUUCUUGAGGCAGGAGAAUUACAUUUCUGGGAAUGAAACCUCAACCAAUCACAUCUUGGUGGAGCUGAAUCUACAGAACAACGUCUUGGUUUAUUGUGGGUUUCUUGUUUUGUAGAGUUGGAUGUUUUCUUAAGGCUUAAAGUAGGCCAAUGAUCAAUGUAAAACUGUUGGAAUGUGUUCCGUGCCUCAAAAAACAGUAGUUUUCUUUGAUUGUCAAAUAGGG
ensembl:lncRNA